rfam:Pteropus alecto contig48565, whole genome shotgun sequence.
GGCUCCAUAGUGUAGUGGUCAGCACAUCUGCUUUACACGCAGAAGGUCCUGGGUUCAUGACCCAGGUGGAGCCA